GGGAACGUAGCUCAGUGGCAGAGCGUGCGGCUGUGUCCCGCACGACAGGGGUUCGAUUCCCCUCGUUCCCU
rnacentral:tRNA from 1 species